rnacentral:tRNA from 1 species
GCCCCCGUAGCGCAGGUGGACAGCGCGCCGGUCUACGAAUCCGGAGGUCGGGAGUUCGAAUCUCCCCGGGGGCA